CUUUACUGUAACCUGGAAUUGGGUUCAGGCUUUGCUUGCGCAGGAUAGGUGGGAGACUAUGAAGCUGCCCUUGUGGGGGCAGUGGAGUCAUCAGUGAGAUACCACUCUGUCAAGGCUAGAAUUCUAACCGUCUGCCGUUAUCCGGCGACGGAACAGUAUCAGGUGGGCAGUUUGACUGGGGCGGUCGCCUCCUAAAUGGUAACGGAGGCGCGCAAAGGUUCCCUCAGGCUGGUUGGAAAUCAGCCGAAGAGUGUAAAGGCAGAAGGGAGCUUGACUGCAAGAGCAACAACUCAAGCAGGGACGAAAGUCAGCCUUAGUGAUCCGACGGCGCUGAGUGGAAGGGCCGUCGCUCAACGGAUAAAAGUUA
rnacentral:rRNA from 1 species